AUUGAACGCUGGCGGCAGGCUUAACACAUGCAAGUCGAGCGGAGCGAGGGUGCUUGCACCUUAGCUUAGCGGCGGACGGGUGAGUAAUGCUUAGGAAUCUGCCUAUUAGUGGGGGACAACAUUCCGAAAGGAAUGCUAAUACCGCAUACGCCCUACGGGGGAAAGCAGGGGAUCUUCGGACCUUGCGCUAAUAGAUGAGCCUAAGUCGGAUUAGCUAGUUGGUGGGGUAAAGGCCUACCAAGGCGACGAUCUGUAGCGGGUCUGAGAGGAUGAUCCGCCACACUGGGACUGAGACACGGCCCAGACUCCUACGGGAGGCAGCAGUGGGGGAUUUUGGACAAUGGGCGAAAGCCUGAUCCAGCCAUGCCGCGUGUCUGAAGAAGGCCUUCGGGUUGUAAAGGACUUUUGUCGGGGAGGAAAUCCCCAGCGCUAAUACCGCUGGGGGAUGACAGUACCUGAAGAAUAAGCACCGGCUAACUACGUGCCAGCCGCCGCCGUAAAAC
rnacentral:rRNA from 1 species